rnacentral:rRNA from 1 species
AGGACGAACGCUGGCGGCGUGCUUAGCACAUGCAAGUCGAGCGGUAAGGCCUUUCGGGGUACACGAGCGGCGAACGGGUGAGUAACACGUGGGUGAUCUGCCCUGCACUCUGGGAUAAGCCGUGGGAAACUGGGUCUAAUACCGGAUAUGACCUGCUCUCGCAGUGGGGGUGGGUGGAAAGAUUUAUCGGGUAGCAGGGAUGGGCCCGCGGCCUAUCAGCUUGGUUGGUGGGGUAAUGGCCUACCAAGGCGACGACGGGUAGCCGACCUGAGGAGGGUGACCGGCCACACGUGGGACUGACGACGACGGCCCAGACCGUACCGUACGGGAGGACCGAGGCAGGUAGGGAAUAUU